rnacentral:snRNA from 1 species
AUUUUUUAAACACAGCAACAUAUAUGCUAAAAUUGGAAAAAUACAGAGAAGAUUAGUAUGGCUGCUGCAUGAGGAUAACAUGCAAAUUUGUAAAGUGUUCCAUAUUUUA